UAGGGAAUCUUCCGCAAUGGACGCAAGUCUGACGGAGCAACGCCGCGUGAGUGAAGAAGGAUUUCGGUUCGUAAAACUCUGUUGUUAGAGAAGAACAGCGCAUAGAGUAACUGUUAUGCGUGUGACGGUAUCUAACCAGAAAGCCACGGCUAACUACGUGCCAGCAGCCGCGGUAAUACGUAGGUGGCAAGCGUUGUCCGGAUUUAUUGUGCGUAAAGCGAGCGCAGGCGGUCAAUUAAGUCUGAUGUGAAAGCCCCCGGCUCAACCGGGGAGGGUCAUUUGAAACUGGUUGACUUGAGUGCAGAAGAGGAGAGUGGAAUUCCAUGUGUAGCGGUGAAAUGCGUAGAUAUAUGGAGGAACACCAGUGGCGAAGGCGACUCUCUGGUCUGUAGCUGACGCUGAGGCUCGAAAGCGUGGGUAGCAAACAGG
rnacentral:rRNA from 1 species